GCCUACGGGGGGCAGCAGUGAGGAAUAUUGGUCAAUGGGCGGGAGACUGAACCAGCCAAGCCGCGUGAGGGAUGAAGGUACAGAGUAACGUAAACCUCUUUUGUCAGGGAACAAAGGCGGGGACGCGUCCCCGGAUGAGUGUACCUGAAGAAAAAGCAUCGGCUAACUCCGUGCCGGCAGCCGCGGUAAUACGGAGGAUGCGAGCGUUAUCCGGAUUUAUUUGGGUUAAAGGGUGCGCAGGCGGUCUGUUAAGUCAGCGGUCAAAGCCCGGGGCUCAACCCCGGCCCGCCCUUG
rnacentral:rRNA from 1 species